rnacentral:rRNA from 1 species
UACGUAGGGGGCGAGCGUUGUCCGGAAUCAUUGGGCGUAAAGCGCGUGUAGGCGGCCCGGUAAGUCCGCUGUGAAAGUCCAGGGCUCAACCCUGGGAUGCCGGUGGAUACUGUCGGGCUCGAGUCCGGAAGAGGCGAGUGGAAUUCCUGGUGUAGCGGUGAAAUGCGCAGAUAUCAGGAGGAACACCAAUUGCGAAGGCAGCUCGCUGGGACGUUACUGACGCUGAGACGCGAAAGCGUGGGGAGCAAACAGG